GACGAACGCUGGCGGCGUGCCUAACACAUGCAAGUCGAGCGAUGAAGCUCCUUCGGGAGUGGAACAGCGGCGGACGGGUGAGUAACACGUGGGUAACCUGCCUCAUAGAGGGGAAUAGCCUACCGAAAGGGAGAUUAAUACCGCAUAACAUAACUUUAUCGCAUGGUAGAGUUAUCAAAGGAGUAAUCCGCUAUGAGGUGGACCCGCGGCGCAUUAGCUAGUUGGUGAGGUAACGGCUCACCAAGGCGACGAUGCGUAGCCGACCUGAGAGGGUGGUCGGCCACAUUGGAACUGAGACACGGUCCAGACUCCUACGGGAGGCAGCAGUGGGGAAUAUUGCGCAAUGGGGGAAACCCUGACGCAGCAACGCCGCGUGAGUGAAGAAGGCCUUAGGGUUGUAAAGCUCUGUCAUAUGGGAAGAUAAUGACGGUACCAUAAGAGGAAGCCACGGCUAACUACGUGCCAGCCGCCGCGGUAA
rnacentral:rRNA from 1 species